rnacentral:rRNA from 1 species
CCUACGGGUGGCAGCAGUGGGGGAUAUUGCACAAUGGGGGGAACCCUGAUGCAGCGACGCCGCGUGGGUGAAGAAGCGCCUCGGCGCGUAAAGCCCUGUCAGCAGGGAAGAAAAUGACGGUACCUGAAGAAGAAGCCCCGGCUAACUCCGUGCCAGCAGCCGCGGUCAUACGUAGGGGGCAAGCGUUAUCCGGAUUUACUGGGUGUAAAGGGGGCGCAGACGGCGAUGCAAGCCAGGAGUGAAAGCCCGGGGCCCAACCCCGGGACUGCUCUUGGAACUGCGUGGCGGGAGUGCAGGAGGGGCAGGCGGAAUUCCUGGUGUAGCGGUGAAAUGCGUAGAUAUCAGGAGGAACACCGGUGGCGAAGGCGGCCUGCUGGACUGCAACUGACGUUGAGGCACGAAAGCGUGGGGAGCGAACAGGAUUAGAUACCCUUGUAGUC